AUUGAACGCUGGCGGCAUGCCUUACACAUGCAAGUCGAACGGCAGCACGGGAGCAAUCCUGGUGGCGAGUGGCGAACGGGUGAGUAAUAUAUCGGAACGUGCCCAGUAGUGGGGGAUAACUGCUCGAAAGAGCAGCUAAUACCGCAUACGACCUGAGGGUGAAAGCGGGGGAUCGCAAGACCUCGCGCUAUUGGAGCGGCCGAUAUCAGAUUAGCUAGUUGGUGGGGUAAAGGCCUACCAAGGCAACGAUCUGUAGUUGGUCUGAGAGGACGACCAGCCACACUGGGACUGAGACACGGCCCAGACUCCUACGGGAGGCAGCAGUGGGGAAUUUUGGACAAUGGGCGCAAGCCUGAUCCAGCAAUGCCGCGUGCAGGAAGAAGGCC
rnacentral:rRNA from 1 species